rnacentral:rRNA from 1 species
AGAGUUUGAUCCUGGCUCAGGACGAACGCUGGCGGCGUGCUUAACACAUGCAAGUGGAGCGACGAACCAGGGCUUGCCCUGGGGCAGAGCCGCGAACGGGUGAGUAACACGUGGGUAACGUGCCCCAAUGAUCGGGACAACCCGGGGAAACCCGGGCUAAUACCGAAUGUGCUCCCGUCACACCAGUGAGGGGUGGAAAGGAAGCUUCGGCCUCCGCAUUGGGAUCGGCCCGCGGCCCAUUAGCUUGUUGGUGAGGUAACGGCUCACCAAGGCUGCGAUGGGUAGCUGGUCUGAGAGGACGAUCAGCCACACUGGGACUGAGACACGGCCCAGACUCCUACGGGAGGCAGCAGUGGGGAAUCUUGCGCAAUGCGCGAAAGCGUGACGCAGCAACGCCGCGUGGGGGAAGAAGGCCUUCGGGUUGUAAACCCCUUUCAGGAGGGACGAAGGUUGGGCGGUUAAUAGCCGACCUGACUGACGGUACCUCCAGAAGAAGCCCCGGCUAACUACGUGCCAGCAGCCGCGGUAAUAC